AAAAAAAAAAAAAAAAAAAAAAAGAAGAAGAAGAAACAAUCCCGGAUAAGUUUAUUUUGUAUCACAAAACAGCAACAGCAAAUUAACACAGAAGGAGGCAUUGAACAAUUCAUAACGUCUUCAAAAGUCACAUGUAGAUGCUUAUGUUAAGGUUCAUACUGUGCUUUCUUUCAAAGUGUGGAAGUUCAAGUUCGAUUUUGGCCAAGUCACGUUACAGGAUUUUGAACGCAACAACACUCAUUUCUAAGGAUAGGAUUUUUCAUUUUCUUUAAG
rnacentral:lncRNA from 1 species